GAUGAACGCUGGCGGCGUGCCUAAUACAUGCAAGUCGAGCGAACAGACGAGGAGCUUGCUCCUCUGACGUUAGCGGCGGACGGGUGAGUAACACGUGGAUAACCUACCUAUAAGACUGGGAUAACUUCGGGAAACCGGAGCUAAUACCGGAUAAUAUAUUGAACCGCAUGGUUCAAUAGUGAAAGACGGUUUUGCUGUCACUUAUAGAUGGAUCCGCGCCGCAUUAGCUAGUUGGUAAGGUAACGGCUUACCAAGGCAACGAUGCGUAGCCGACCUGAGAGGGUGAUCGGCCACACUGGAACUGAGACACGGUCCAGACUCCUACGGGAGGCAGCAGUAGGGAAUCGUCCGCAAUGGGCGAAAGCCUGACGGAGCAACGCCGCGUGAGUGAUGAAGGUCUUCGGAGCGUAAAACUCUGUUAUUAGGGAAGAACAAAUGUGUAAGUAACUAUGCACGUCUUGACGGUACCUAAUCAGAAAGCCACGGCUAACUACGUG
rnacentral:rRNA from 1 species